ensembl:lncRNA
GCUGGUCACCACUUUAAUCGUUAGAAUCAUCUUUAAACAACACAAAACAACAACAUCACAUCGUGAAUCACUUCCCAUAAUUCUCUCCUUCAUUCGAGACACAAAUGUAAAUGUUUCGUAUUUUCCAUUAUUCACUGCAAUGUCACAGAUCACAAGUCCAGUAGAGACCGGGCCUUGUGGCCUUUACUGGACGAGAUGCGUAGAAAUAGAAUGAAUUAGAACGGACAAGUGAUUUACUUGAUCAGGGACCACUUCUCAAUUCAUGUCUAUUUCUAUGCCCUGCAUGCCAUCACUGUCAUUACUGAAUACUAGGGCUGUCAAACCAUUUAAACGGUUAAUCACAAUCAUCGCAUAUAUUUCUGUGGCUAAUUGCAAUUAAUCCAAAAUUUUUUAAUAUGCUCACAUUUCUCCCUAAAGCAAGUUUUUAUUCUCAUUUAAAUAGCAGUGCAUUAAGUUACAGGCAUAUAAUGCUUUCAUUGUAAGAGGCGGAAACACACAUUUCUCUGUAUGGAAAUGUUCGCCACACAAAGGCCAACAGCUAAUAAAGUGUCCAAUGUUCAGCAAGCCGACUCUGUAAUCAGUUGUCUUGAGGUCAACACGUAUUCACAUGCAAACACACACGCAUACACACACACACACAGACACACAAGUAUCAUUAAAGCUUUAUUCUAAAUGAGUGGUUUCCAAUUUUUUUAUUGGAUGUUAAACCAAAGCCAUGUACAGUAGAAAAUUUGGCCCAUAGAUUUAAAGCAUUUUGCCAGUGCGGUUUCUGCAUUACAAUGCAUUUACAAGUCAUUCCAACAUUUUACGACAAUAAUGUUACUUUCCCAUUAACAUUUCAUGGGAAUAUUUAAACCAUGUCUACAAGAAGAUCUAUUCUCAAGAGUAGCUAUUCACAUAAACAAUUCAUCCCUUAAAGAAGUACAUAGCUGAAAACAACUGUCAUUCUUCAUCUCUACCCAUUUUUGUUUUUGUUUUAAGAUGUAUUUAGUUCUUACACUUUUGUUGAGGGUUCUCAUUAGCAUACAUUAUUAUUUUGGUUAUUGCUUUGACAACUGCAACGUUGAUAUUUGUUUACAGUCCUUGCAACUACAACAGAAACAUUUGGUUUUGCAGUAGUAUUCAGAAACAGUGCUAAAACUCAAUGAUAUAGGCUUUAGCAAAAUUAGACAAAUUAUAUUUUUAAGUAAACUGCAGAAGAUUGGCAACACCAAAU